GGGUGAGUAACACGUAUCCAACCUGCCGAUAACUCCGGGAUAGCCUUUCGAAAGAAAGAUUAAUACCGGAUAGCAUACGAAUAUCGCAUGAUAUUUUUAUUAAAGAAUUUCGGUUAUCGAUGGGGAUGCGUUCCAUUAGUUUGUUGGCGGGGUAACGGCCCACCAAGACAACGAUGGAUAGGGGUUCUGAGAGGAAGGUCCCCCACAUUGGAACUGAGACACGGUCCAAACUCCUACGGGAGGCAGCAGUGAGGAAUAUUGGUCAAUGGGCGAGAGCCUGAACCAGCCAAGUAGCGUGAAGGAUGAAGGCUCUAUGGGUCGUAAACUUCUUUUAUAUGGGAAUAAAGUAUUCCACGUGUGGAAUUUUGUAUGUACCAUAUGAAUAAGGAUCGGCUAACUCCGUGCCAGCAGCCGCGGUAAUACGGAGGAUCCGAGCGUUAUCCGGAUUUAUUGGGUUUAAAGGGAGCGUAGGUGGAUUGUUAAGUCAGUUGUGAAAGUUUGCGGCUCAACCGUAAAAUUGCAGUUGAAACUGGCAGUCUUGAGUACAGUAGAGGUGGGCGGAAUUCGUGGUGUAGCGGUGAAAUGCUUAGAUAUCACGAAGAACUCCGAUUGCGAAGGCAGCUCACUAGACUGUCACUGACACUGAUGCUCGAAAGUGUGGGUAUCAAACAGGAUUAGAUACCCUGGUAGUCCACACAGUAAACGAUGAAUACUCGCUGUUUGCGAUAU
rnacentral:rRNA from 1 species